rnacentral:lncRNA from 1 species
UUUUAUUUUAUAAAUAAAUAAUUAAAUAAUGAAAUUUUUAAAGAUGAUGUCACGACGGAAAUUAACCCAAUUUUUUAUUCUAUCGCUAGACGAACAAAUAUCCAUACCAAAAAUUAAAAUUAACACUUAAAUUGAAGAUCGAACCAAGAAGUUUAUUCAUGCUUAGUGCAGUGAUUGAAUCAGAUGUAACCGUUGUUAAUCAUCUUGUAAUAAUGUAUGCUGAUAAGCAGAAAUAUUUAGGAAUCAACUAGUGUUUGCAAACUUUAUUUGAUUUGACCUGUCCCUUAGCAGAUUUUUCCCCCCCAUAAUUUACAAAAAGAAAAAGAAAAAGAAAAAGAAAAAAAAAAAGACAC